rnacentral:rRNA from 1 species
CAGCCGCCACGGUAAUACGAAGGGUGCAAGCGUUACUCGGAAUUACUGGGCGUAAAGCGUGCGUAGGUGGUGGUUUAAGUCCGUUGUGAAAGCCCUGGGCUCAACCUGGGAAUUGCAGUGGAUACUGGAUCACUAGAGUGUGGUAGAGGAUAGUGGAAUUUCCGGUGUAGUAGUGAAAUGCGUAGAGAUCGGAAGGAACAUCUGUGGCGAAGGCGACUAUCUGGGCCAACACUGACACUGAGGCACGAAAGCGUGGGGAGCAUACAGGAUUAGAUACCCGAGUAGUCCCUGUCUCUUAUAA